rnacentral:rRNA from 1 species
CAGCCCUAAACGAUGCGCGUUAGGUGUAUCGGUGACCACGAGUCACCGAGGUGCCGAAGGGAAACCGUGAAACGUGCCGCCUGGGAAGUACGGUCGCAAGGCUGAAACUUAAAGGAAUUGGCGGGGGAGCACCACAACGGGUGGAGCUUGCGGUUUAAUUGGGUUCAACGCCGGAAAUCUUACCGGGACCGACAGCAACAUGAAGGCCAGGCUGAAGACUUUGCCGGAUUAGCUGAGAGGUGGUGCAUGGCGUCAGUGACU